rnacentral:rRNA from 1 species
GGUUAAGCGACUAAGCGUACACGGUGGAUGCCACUGGCAGUCAGAGGCGAUGAAGGACGUGCUAAUCUGCGAAAAGCGUCGGUAAGGUGAUAUGAACCGUUAUAACCGGCGAUGUCCGAAUGGGGAAACCCAGUGCAAUUCGUUGCACUAUCGUUAACUGAAUACAUAGGUUAACGAGGCGAACCGGGGAACUGAAACAUCUAAGUACCCCGAGGAAAAGAAAUCAACCGAGAUUCCCCAGUAGCGGCGAGCGAACGGGGAGCAGCCCAGAGUCUGAAUCAGCUUGUGUGUUAGUGGAACGGUCUGGAAAGUCCGACGGUACAGGGUGAUAGUCCCGUACACCAAAAUGCACAGGUUGUGAACUCGAAGAGUAGGGCGGGACACGUGGUAUCCUGUCUGAAUAUGGGGGACCAUCCUCCAAGGCUAAAUACUCCUGACUGACCGAUAGUGAACCAGUACCGUGAGGGAAAGGCGAAAAGAACCCCGGCGAGGGGAGUGAAAAAGAACCUGAAACCGUGUACGUACAAGCAGUGGGAGCACCUUCGGGUGUGACUGCGUACCUUUGUAUAAUGGGUCAGCGACUUAUAUUCUGUAGCAAGGUUAACCGUAUAGGGGAGCCGCAGGGAAACCGAGUCUUAACUGGGCGUUAAGUUGCAGGGUAUAGACCCGAAACCCGGUGAUCUAGCCAUGGGCAGGUUGAAGGUUGGGUAACACUAACUGGAGGACCGAACCGACUAAUGUUGAAAAAUUAGCGGAUGACUUGUGGCUGGGGUGAAAGGCCAAUCAAACCGGGAGAUAGCUGGUUCUCCCCGAAAGCUAUUUAGGUAGCGCCUCGUGAACUCAUCUUCGGGGGUAGAGCACUGUUUCGGCUAGGGGUCAUCCCGACUUACCAACCCGAUGCAAACUACGAAUACCGAAGAAUGUUAUCACGGGAGACACACGGCGGGUGCUAACGUCCGUCGUGAAGAGGGAAACAACCCAGACCGCCAGCUAAGGUCCCAAAGUCAUGGUUAAGUGGGAAACGAUGUGGGAAGGCACAGACAGCCGGGGAUGUUGGCUUAGAAGCAGCCAUCAUUUAAAGAAAGCGUAAUAGCUCACUGGUCGAGUCGGCCUGCGCGGAAGAUGUAACGGGGCUAAACCAUGCACCGAAGCUGCGGCAGCGACACUAUGUGUUGUUGGGUAGGGGAGCGUUCUGUAAGCCUGCGAAGGUGUGCUGUGAGGCAUGCUGGAGGUAUCAGAAGUGCGAAUGCUGACAUAAGUAACGAUAAAGCGGGUGAAAAGCCCGCUCGCCGGAAGACCAAGGGUUCCUGUCCAACGUUAAUCGGGGCAGGGUGAGUCGACCCUAAGGCGAGGCCGAAAGGCGUAGUCGAUGGGAAACAGGUUAAUAUUCCUGUACUUGGUGUUACUGCGAAGGGGGGGGACGGAGAAGGCUAUGUUAGCCGGGCGACGGUUGUCCCGGUUUAAGCAUGUAGGCUGAUUGUCCGAGGCAAAUCCGGAUAAUCAAGGCUGAGGUGUGAUGACGAGGCACUACGGUGCUGAAGUAACAAAUGCCCUGCUUCCGAGGAAAAGCCUCUAAGCAUCAGGUAACAUUAAAUCGUACCCCAAACCGACACAGGUGGUCAGGUAGAGAAUACCAAGGCGCUUGAGAGAACUCGGGUGAAGGAACUAGGCAAAAUGGUGCCGUAACUUCGGGAGAAGGCACGCUGGUGUGUAGGUGAAGUCCCUGCGGAUGGAGCUGAGACCAGUCGAAGAUACCAGCUGGCUGCAACUGUUUAUUAAAAACACAGCACUGUGCAAACACGAAAGUGGACGUAUACGGUGUGACGCCUGCCCGGUGCCGGAAGGUUAAUUGAUGGGGUUAUCCGUAAGGAGAAGCUCUUGAUCGAAGCCCCGGUAAACGGCGGCCGUAACUAUAACGGUCCUAAGGUAGCGAAAUUCCUUGUCGGGUAAGUUCCGACCUGCACGAAUGGCGUAAUGAUGGCCGGGCUGUCUCCACCCGAGACUCAGUGAAAUUGAACUCGCUGUGAAGAUGCAGUGUACCCGCGGCAAGACGGAAAGACCCCGUGAACCUUUACUAUAGCUUGACACUGAACAUUGAGCCUUGAUGUGUAGGAUAGGUGGGAGGCUUUGAAGCGUGGACGCCAGUCUGCGUGGAGCCAACCUUGAAAUACCACCCUUUAAUGUUUGAUGUUCUAACGUUGGCCCCUGACCGGGGUUGCGGACAGUGUCUGGUGGGUAGUUUGACUGGGGCGGUCUCCUCCCAAAGCGUAACGGAGGAGCACGAAGGUUAGCUAAUCCCCGGUCGGACAUCAGGAGGUUAGUGCAAUGGCAUAAGCUAGCUUGACUGCGAGCGUGACGGCGCGAGCAGGUGCGAAAGCAGGUCAUAGUGAUCCGGUGGUUCUGAAUGGAAGGGCCAUCGCUCAACGGAUAAAAGGUACUCCGGGGAUAACAGGCUGAUACCGCCCAAGAGUUCAUAUCGACGGCGGUGUUUGGCACCUCGAUGUCGGCUCAUCACAUCCCCGGGGCUGAAGUAGGUCCCAAGGGUAUGGCUGUUCGCCAUUUAAAGUGGUACGCGAGCUGGGUUUAGAACGUCGUGAGACAGUUCGGUCCCUAUCUGCCGUGGGCGCUGGAGAAUUGAGGGGGCUGCUCCUAGUACGAGAGGACCGGAGUGGACGCAUCACUGGUGUUCGGGUUGUCAUGCCAAUGGCACUGCCCGGUAGCUAAAUGCGGAAGAGAUAAGUGCUGAAAGCAUCUAAGCACGAAACUUGCCCCGAGAUGAGUUCUCCCUGAGACUUUAAGUCUCCUGAAGGAACGUUGAAGACGACGACGUUGAUAGGCCGGGUGUGUAAGCGCAGCGAUGCGUUGAGCUAACCGGUACUAAUGAACCGUGAGGCUUAACCUU